rnacentral:rRNA from 1 species
GACGAACGCUGGCGGCGUGCCUAAUACAUGCAAGUCGAGCGAAGCGGCGGAUGGGUGAGUAACGCGUGGGUAACUUGCCCUUAAGUUUGGGACAACAUCUGGAAACACAUGCUAUUACCGGAUACUAAUGGAUGGACUUGCGAUGCCUUAGCUAGUUGCUAAGGUAACGGCUUACCAAGGCGAUGAUGCAUAGCCGGGUUGAGAGACUGAGCGGCCACAUUGGGACUGAGACACGGCCCAAACUCCUACGGGAGGCAGCAGUAGGGAAUCUUCCACAAUGGACGAAAGUCUGAUGGAGCAACGCCGCGUGAGUGAAGAAGGUUUUCGGAUCGUAAAGCUCUGUUGUUGGUGAAGCGGUAAUCAACCAGAAAGUCACGGCUAACUACGUGCCAGCAGCCGCGGUAAUAC